GGCAUGAGCCAUCGCACCUGGCCAUCAAGCUGGAAAUUUUUAAGGUCUGUUUCUUUCCCAAUGUAGAGUAAAGGUUGGGAAAGGGAAGAGGGCUAGAAAUCUGACUUUAGCUCCCCGCUGAGGGCUGAA
rnacentral:antisense_RNA from 1 species